rnacentral:pre_miRNA from 1 species
AGACAGAGAGGCCAGGUCCCGUCUCUGCAGUUACACAGCUCGGGAGUGCCUGCUGGGGUGGAACCUGGUCUCUCUGUCU